GAUGAACGCUGGCGGCGUGCCUAAUACAUGCAAGUCGAGCGAACAGAUAAGGAGCUUGCUCCUUUGACGUUAGCGGCGGACGGGUGAGUAACACGUGGAUACCUACCUAUAAGACUGGGAUAACUUCGGGAAACCGGAGCUAAUACCGGAUAACAUAUUGAACCGCAUGGUUCAAUAGUGAAAGGCGGCUUUGCUGUCACUUAUAGAUGGAUCCGCGCCGUAUUAGCUAGUUGGUAAGGUAACGGCUUACCAAGGCAACGAUACGUAGCCGACCUGAGAGGGUGAUCGGCCACACUGGAACUGAGACACGGUCCAGACUCCUACGGGAGGCAGCAGUAGGGAAUCUUCCGCAAUGGGCGAAAGCCUGACGGAGCAACGCCGCGUGAGUGAUGAAGGUCUUCGGAUCGUAAAACUCUGUUAUCAGGGAAGAACAAAUGUGUAAGUAACUGUGCACAUCUUGACGGUACCUGAUCAGAAAGCCACGGCUAACUACGUG
rnacentral:rRNA from 1 species